GUUCGAAUGGGGAGAUUCAUCGUCAACGAGGCUGGCUUCGCGAUGGCUCGUGAUGUCCCCGGUGCUUAACCGCACCGCGGGGCACGCGGUCGUCACGUUGCGUCCGGUCGCGUCGGCGUGCACUUCUCCCCUAGUAGAACGUCGCGACCCGUUGGGUGCCGGUCUUUCGGCCUGGGUGGACGACUGUCGCAUCGCCCGAGGCGCGUGCGACAGACCCCCGUGUGCCUUGAGUUAUCCGGCUGCCCGGCGGUACGCUCAUGGUAUCGGGCCGCAAUUAUCGAACUGCGUCGGGCCCAUCUCGCCCGCCUCCUCGGAUCUCGGUGGUACCGUCCCAACGGUGCGUCUCCGAAUAUCCGGCUGGCGCUUAAUAGGCGAGUGGUGACCUCCGACUGGCCCUGUGAAACACUUAAACGAUACCGGUCGGCGACGCUACUGCUUUGGGUAAUCUCAGGACCCGUCUUGAAACACGGACCAAGGAGUCUAACAUGUGCGCGAGUCAUUGAGACAGCAGGCUUAAAGGCGAAAUGAAAGUGAAGGUCGGCCCUAGCGCCGACCGAGGGAGGAUGGGCCUCGUUACGAUGAGGCUCCGCACUCCCGGGGCGUCUCGUUCUCAUUCGAGAAGAGGCGCACCCAGAGCGUACACGUUGGGACCCGAAAGAUGGUGAACUAUGCCUGGUCAGGACGAAGUCAGGGGAAACCCUGAUGGAGGUCCGUAGCGAUUCUGACGUGCAAAUCGAUCGUCGGAA
rnacentral:rRNA from 1 species